AGCAAAGCCGUAGAUAUCCUCUUCCUGCUACACAUAGUAUUAGCCUACGUAAGGUCAUUACGGCGCCGUUUCCCUUUUUAAUUGGCGUAGUUCAACUCAUCAUCCACCCAAGUUCAUUUCGUUCAAAGCUAUAAAUAACCCCUCAAACCAUUCAACUUUCCCACCACCACUCCUCACUCCUUCAACUCAUUAACCUCUCUCUCUCUCUCUCCUUCAACUCAUUAACCUCUCUCUCUCUCUCUCUCUCUCUCAUUUUCAUCCGCAAAUGGCGAACCGUAGAAGCCUCUUUUCUCUCUCACUUAUCUUUGUGUUCAUGAUCAACUCAGCCAUAGCCACUCCAGUCACAUACAAUGUGGCCAGUUUAGGAGCCAAAGCAGAUGGCAAGACUGACUCCACAAAAGCCUUCCUCUUUGCAUGGGCUAAAGCUUGUGCCUCGAUGAAUCCCGGUGUCAUUUAUGUGCCGGCAGGAACGUUCUUUCUUCGCGAUGUGGUGUUCAGUGGGCCUUGCAAGAACAAUGCCAUCACCUUCCGCAUUGCCGGAACCCUUGUGGCCCCGUCGGAUUACCGGGUCAUCGGUAAUGCAGCUAACUGGAUUUUCUUUCACCAUGUAAACGGGGUUACCAUAUCAGGUGGAAUUCUUGACGGCCAAGGCACGGCCUUGUGGGCUUGCAAGGCCUCUCAUGGCGAGAGUUGUCCCAGCGGAGCAACGGUAAUUAAUUCACUACUUUAAAUAUCAUAUUCAUGACACCAUUAAAUAUCAAAUUCAUGACACCAUUAUUUUGUGCUUCAUUAUUAGUGAGAAUUUUAAAGGUCAACGUACGUACAAUUUGCUUUAUUAUUUGCUACCAAUUGAAUUGAGGGUUUAUAAAAUAAGUUUAAACUCUACAGAACGUAAUCAAAUGGACAUGAUAAAUUGUACCACAAGCUUAGCUUGAUCAAGUAAUUUCGUGUAUAUAUGUGCAGACUUUGGGUUUUUCCGACUCAAACAACAUCGUGGUGAGUGGAUUGGCAUCCCUAAACAGCCAAAUGUUCCACAUAGUCAUCAACGACUGCCAAAAUGUGCAAAUGCAAGGUGUCAGGGUUUCUGCUUCCGGGAACAGCCCUAACACCGAUGGCAUUCAUGUCCAAAUGUCAUCUGGUGUCACAAUCCUCAACUCCAAGAUUGCAACCGGUGACGAUUGUGUCUCAAUUGGCCCCGGAACCUCAAAUUUGUGGAUAGAAGGCGUUGCUUGUGGACCUGGCCAUGGAAUUAGGUACGACAUCAAAAUUAUAUAUUUAUCCAUGAUUGAUCAAACUAGCUAAAUGCAUACUAUUUCAUAAUAUAUGUUAUAAUGUAUAUCUUUUUUCUUCGUUGCUUAAUGACAUUUGAACUUAGGACAUCUUUCAAUAAAGUGGAGAUUAAUUGGUUGCUAGUAGAGAUUCAUUGCCUACAAAAAGUAUAUCUUUCUUUUGGGUGGAUGUUCUAGUUGUAAAUUUAACAUUGCUUUAUUUGAUGGUUCAGCAUUGGAAGUCUAGGCAAGGAGCAAGAAGAGGCCGGUGUACAAAAUGUAACAGUUAAAACGGUUACCUUUACUGGUACUCAGAAUGGUCUAAGAAUCAAGUCAUGGGGGAGGCCAAGCACUGGGUUUGCUAGAAAUAUUCUUUUCCAACAUGCUACAAUGGUCAAUGUCGAAAAUCCUAUUGUCAUAGAUCAACAUUAUUGCCCCGACAACAAAGGGUGCCCUGGUCAGGUAAGAUAUCAUUCUUGCUCUAACGGUCAAUUCCCAGAGUUUAAUAUUACAACUAAAUUUUCUCUUCUUCACUUUCAUAGUGUAACGUUUUUGAUAAAAACGUUGGCAUCGCCAAAUUAUAACUGUCUAAUUUCGAAACAUAUCAAAAGCUUUCUUGGGCUUCCACCUAGAAGAGCCAAUAAUUUUAGACCCAAAGCAAAUCCAAUAACUCCUUCUUCCAUGGGCUUGCUCUCCUACUACUUACAAAGGUCGAGCCUUGCCCAUUGUAACCUUUGUAACUUAUUAAUUUCAUUGUAUGUGCAAUGAGAUUGAGGGUUGUAGCUUAAGUGGUUAACAAUAUUUACUCAUGUAUUCGAAGUUCUAGAUUUAAUUCCCCUCUUUUCCAAUACCAUUUUUAUCAAAAUGACUUCAUCGUAGCUUAGCCAAAAAAGCAUUAAACUUCCCAUUAAGCCGAAUUACCAUGCUAUAAUGCUUGUUCACCUUCUGUUUUAUCAAAAGCUGGAAAUCUGACUUCCUAUUGUUUUUUUUCUUUUGUCAAUUUUGUUUUUCGAUAGGUUUCCGGAGUUCAAAUUAGCGAUGUGACAUACGAAGACAUACACGGUACAUCAGCAACAGAAGUUGCAGUAAAAUUUGAUUGCAGUCCCAAGCACCCUUGCAGCGAGAUCAAAUUGGAGGAUGUGAAGCUUACUUACAAGAACCAAGCAGCUGAGUCUUCAUGUAGCCAUGCAGAUGGAACAACUGAGGGUGUGGUUCAGCCUACAAGUUGUUUGUAGAGUGGAAAAAUAUGAACUGCUUGUAGAAGUAUUGAAAUCCAAAAGUUUGCCCUCCAGUACUAAGGACAAAUGAAAAGUGAAUUAUACGAUUUAUAUAGGAAGAAUGAGCUUGUGUUGUUGGCAGCCUACUUGGGCUUCCCUUGAGCCUGGCCGUUCAAUUAGUUUAGUUUGUUCAAACUCGUCCACUUCGAUGGGUGUUUAUGUUAUGAAUUGUUGUAAGAUUAUGUUCGGGAUACGUUAAAUUUAUAAGAUUAAAUUUUAUGUUGAUGGCUAAUGUGGCAUUUGACAUAGGAUUCAAUAUUCUAUCAAUUUAAUUCACAAUUUUAUUAUAAUCGAAGCACACAUUAAAUAGUAAAAAUUUGGUUCAAGAAACAAAAGGAUUUGAAGUCUCGCAUGAACUUUUUGGUUGGAGCAUUUUCUCAUGUCAAAUUUUACCCGUUAAAAAUUUAUUAUGAUAUUUUAACAUUUCGGUUGGAGUAUUUUUUUCAUGUCAAAUUUGACCCGUUAAAAAUUUACUAUGGUAUUUUAGCAUUUCGGUUGGAGAUGUAUAAAUCUUAAAAAUGCAUUCAAGAUGCAUUUUUGUUUCUUAAGCUUUGAGCUUUAGGUAAUUAACUUUAAAUGUUGUUGGGCACCUUGCACUAGUUGAUUAAAGAAAAAUAGACCCGAAGCAAGAUUCCUUGUAGUUGCCAAUUCGAAGUUUUCUUUAUCGCUACAUACUUACUGGUCUACAAGUUCUCUCUCUAAUACAUAAUUUGACAUAAAUAAAUACAGUGAAGAGUGCAUUGACUAAACAGAAAAAAAAACAAAAAAAGCAGCACGUAAGCAAUUACGUGCAUUUGGUGUAAAAGCUAAAGGCCUCUGAUUUAUGUAAGCAGUUACGGUAAUCAUAUUAUAUUAUAUGUAUCUUAGUUCUGCAAUUGUAACAGGAAUAAUAUUGUUUUGUUAUCCCCAAUCAAUAAUACAAUGAUACGUGAAAAAGUUAUUUAACAUGUCAUUGCGUUAUUAGCUGGGGAUAGCAAACAGUGCUAUCCCCAUUACAUGAAAGUCUUUCUCCUGCAUAUCCUAUUAUACUAUUAUAAAACUCAAUUGGUCAAUCAUAGUGAAAAAAAUAUAGUGAAAGAAAAAAGAAGAAGAAGAAAAUAUCAAUUAAGCCCCUCUUAUAUUGAACACUUCAAUAAUAAAAUAAAAAUUGCAUAUGGAGUAAAGUCAGUCAGUUAAGAUAGUAUGCUAGUUCUUUUGCACCUGAGUUCAAUUUCCUUCCCCGAACAUUUUCAAAUAAAUAAUAAUAAAAUAAAAUGUGAAUUUGAUAGUCAAUGUCGUAGUAAAAUAUGGUUUUUUAGUAUCAAUAUUAAGGAAAGCCAUUGUUCUUUCUAGCAGAAUGCCCGCCACUGCUAGAGAGAGAGAGAGAGAGAGAGCGGAAUGGCAGAAGUGAGUAACAAGCAGGUGAUACCGAGGGAGUAUGUCACUGGCUUUCCCAAAGAGUCAGACUUGUACGUGAAUAGCACUGCUACUAUCAAGUUGAAGCUUUCUGAGGCCCCCGAGCAUGAGGGUUCUUCAAAGAAACUAGUUCUAGUGAAGAAUCUUUACUUGUCCUGCGAUCCCUACCAACGACUAUUUAUGGAAAGAAUCGAAGGCCUCAGCAGCCAAUCCACUUCCUCCUAUACGCCUGGUUCUGUAAGCAAAACCCAUCAUAUAUCUUUUCCUUUCAAUUUCUGUAAACAUAUAUACCAAAUGUUAUGCUCAAAUAUAUAUUAAUUGUUAAACAUUGUUCCCUUAAAAAAAACAAUUUAUUGCAAAAUUGGAAUAUACAAGAGGUAACUCUGCACAAAUAUUAAUGACAAGAUGAGGUGGCUAAAAGCACUGUUAAUGUCUAUCAGCGCGCAAUGAGCACGAAUAACUGUGAUUAUUAAGUAGUAGGAGCUGAUAGUUGUUUUUGUUACCACAUCCUAUGCCACAAAUAUUAAUUAUUACCAAUUAUUCUUCUAGUAAUGCUUGUUUUUUUGUUGAUGGCAACAUUGGGAGGAGGGAAUCAAAUACAAGUUUGAUCAUAUGAUUAAUUUAAUUUUGUUGGUGUAAACGUGCAGCCAAUAUACGGGUAUGGAGUGGCUAAAGUUUUGGACUCUGGGCACCCAGAUUUGAAGGCAGGUGACUUAGUUUGGGGGACUACCUAUUGGGAAGAGUACAGCCGAAUCCCUGAACCCGAAGGCCUGAUCAAAAUCCAGCACACUGAUGUACCUCUAUCCUAUUAUACUGGAAUUCUUGGUAACAAGUCAAACCUAUUUUAGAUCAUGAUGAUAUGUGUUGGUUUAGAUACGUAAGUGUAUUUUUUGUAAUUUCAUUUCAGGUAUGCCUGGUUUGACCGCUUAUGUUGGUUUCUAUGAAAUUUGUUCUCCUAAGAAAGGAGAACAUGUCUUCAUUUCAGCAGCAGCUGGUGCUGUUGGUCAGCUUGUUGGACAAUUUGCAAAAUUAAUGGGUUGUUAUGUUGUUGGAAGUGCUGGCAGUAAGGAAAAGGUACGAACUUGAGAAAUCUUUGAACUUCAAAUUAAUAUUAUCUACACCAUUUUUUCUUGUUUGGGUUGUAUUUUGCUGUUGUUAUUUGGGCCAACUUUGGUGUUGGUUUGGUUUGGGGCCUCUGUUUGUGCGCUGGGACUACAAUGAGUGGAAAGUUAUAAGGGGUAAGUUAUAAGGGGUUCACUUUAUAGCCAUCAGAUCAAUCCAAGGGCUGGGGAGAAUUGAGAUAAAGUUUCACAAUUGGGUAGGUGAGGAACCCAAACCCGAAUUGAAUAUCCAGCACGUCCAAAAAGAAGAAGAAGAGGGAAACACGUUCGAAAAAGAAGAAGAAGAGGCAAGUUCGAAGUUUGAACAGAAAGAACUCAUCUCUCUAAAACCCAGAGGUCUGAGAUACCCAAUGAAGGCAACGGCUAACGACAGUUGAAGGCAACGAUUCGCCACUCCGUUCUCCAGACCCUGAAAAAGUAUUUAUUUGGAGUAGAAGGGGCAAAGGUGUGGAUUCCAAAUCAAUGAAGGGGCGAAGCAGUGGAAGGGGAAGGGGAGAAGCUAUAAUCGUUGGAAGUGGUAGGUUCCAUUUGUGGAGCAAAGAAACAGAAAGACCCCACACAGACACCUUGCAAUAACCAGCAUUUGGUGAGUAAUUUAUGGAAUUUGAGUUUAGGGUUAGAGUAAUGGUUUUCCUCAAUUUGUAGCAUAAAUUUUGUUGGAUUUGGCAUCUCUUCGUUGUGCUUGAGUUGCAUGUUAAUUUUUGCUUAGGUAUAUGUUAAAAAAAGAAUGAAAAUCAAGUCAAUAACAAGUGAAUAACAUGUCAAUAAUGAUAUGAAUAAGAUAAUGGUGUUGAAUUGGAGGAGGCCCUCAAAACCUUCCACAUUUGAAGCAGUGCAUAGUGCAGAUUAAGAAGAGGCGGUAGAAUAUAUAUAUAUAUAUAUAUAUAUAUAUUUUAUGAAGUAAAUAUGAUUUCCUUUGUUACUAAAUUUGCCUGAGAAACAUUUGAACAGAUAAUAAUAAACUCAUGAAUAGAAGUGCAAAGCAUUUGAUGAGUAAUUUAAGGAAUUUGAGUUUAGGGUUAGAGUAAUGGUUUUCCCCAAUUUGUACCAUCAAUGUUGUUGGAUUUGGCAUCUCUUAUUUGUGCUUCAAUUGCAUGUUAAUUUUUGCUUGGGUAUAUGUUAAAAAACGAAUGAAAAUAGAGUCAAUCACAUGUCAAUAACAUCUCAAUAACAUGUCAAUAACAUGUUAGUAAUGAUAUGAAUAAGAUAAUGGUGUUAAAUUGGAGGAGGCGCUCAAAACCUUCCACAUUUGAAGCAGUGCAGAGUGAAGAGUACCUCUCUGGCCCUAGAAUUUAUAUAUUUUGUGAAAUAAAUAUGAUUUCAUUUGUUACUAAAUUUGCCUAUGAGAAAUGAGAACAGAUAAUAAUAAACUCAUGAAUAAAAGUGCAAAGCAUUUGAAAUGAAGGUUGAUCUAUGACGAUUGUGGGUGACUGAAGAAAAAGCUAGAAAGAAAGAAGGAUGUGGCAAUUGCUUAGCAAGCAGAUAGCAGAGUAGAUGCUUUGCUUUGCUUCCUUCCACUAUAUUUCUUAUUUAUUUAUUUUGUGUUGUGUAUGAGAUGACAAUAAUUGUCAUGUGUGUGAAGUGCAGAACUUGCCUACAUUGCACUCACACGAGUAUGGAUCCAUAAAUAAAACACGUGAAAUUGUUUGUAAUUCACAUAAUCAUUGCAUUAACAGGUAUUUGCACAAAAUUUGUCAUAUUGCUUUGAUGAUGUUAAAGCCUAUGAUCAGUAAUCCGUAUGCUCAUGUACUUUGUAAAAUUUGUAAUGUGCCUGGUUGACUAGUUGUGAUUGUGCAAAUACGUGGCAGUAUAUGUGUUCACGUUAUUUCACAUUGUAUUUGAGGAAAUGGGAUCCAACGUGGAGCUGGUAUGGCCAGAGGCAGAGGCAUAUUCGUCACGGGUGAACAACUGCUCACAUGCAAAUUCAUCUCUAGCUGCAAUUCGAGCGAAGUUGAGUGCGGAACAAUUAGAACAAUUCAAGACAUCAUGCUUUGGCCAUCUUCUGAAUAUAGAUAAGAUUCAGUUUAGCGGGCAGAUUGUGCAUGGGGCUGUGUUGCGUAGAGUAGCGGGGCAGGGUGUGAAAGACUUGGAUGGACUGAGUUUCUUAUUAGGGUGUGACGUUGCUCAGUUCACUCGUCAGGAUUUCUGUUUGAUCACAGGGCUUCGUUUUGGGGAAGUGCCUGAAGUUUCCAGUGGAGAGAGUGAUGUAAUCAGACUUCAGAAAAGAUAUUUUAUAGACGAAGGAAUUACAUGCAAUGCUUUAGAAGAAGCAUUUAUGGGGUGCACAGAGGAAGAUGACAUCUACAAGCUAGCUCUUGUUUACUUUGCUGAGUUAGUGGUUUUGGGAAGGGACAAACAUUUGAACAUCAAUCUAAAUUACCUGACCCUUGUAGAGGACUUGGAUGCGUUCAACAGGUAUCCGUGGGGUUCGGUGUCCUUUGACAAAACCCAAGACAGUCUAUUUUCUGCACCAACAAAGUAUGUGAAAAGCUUGCAAAAUGAAGAGGGAAGAGGGAAGGGGAAAAGUAAGGUAACGGGAACAAGCCGGAGAAAUGAGAAGGGCAGGAAGGAUAAGCAUGGUGAAGCGCAAAGGAGUGGCUGGAGUUUUAAAGGUUUCACGUAUGCUUUCCAGGUACAUGGUAAUAAUGUUCAUGUGAGUUAUGUUUUGUUUUUCUUUAAAACAUAAAUAAUGACUUUUGUCCUGUGAAUUGUGUAGAUUUGGGUAUAUGAAUUAAUUCCUAGAAUGGCGGACCUGAAUUACUGCAAGGUUGUUGAUCCGACCGCUGUCCCGCGUAUUUUGCGAUGGAGAACUACUACGUCUGUUCCAGAGAUGAGAAAGUUGAACAAUUAUUUUUUCCAGAGCAAAGAGGUUUGGUUUGCAGCCCUUGGAACUAUUGAUAAGAUUGAAUGAAAUUUUGAAGUAGAAUGAUUUAAUAUGACUGUGGUUUGUAUUCUGAAACAGUCAGUUCAGUUGCGGGCGCUAUGUCCGAGUGAAGAGGAAAUGAGACAGCCAUAUUGGAGUUGGCCACAGGAUCGCCCUGAUGAGACAGCCAUAUUGGAGUUGGCCACAGGAUCGCCCUGCUGUUGUCUCGGCAGAGUCAAUUCCUUCUUUAUGUGGUGAUCUUGAUCAGUUGAACAAGGUGGUAAGCUUGUUGAGGUCCGAGUUGUUUCAAGUAAAGCGGGAAAAAGACGUCCUUCACUUAAAGGUCAUACGGAUGGAAAAACUGUUGGACCAAUGUUUAGGUCCUCAGUUUGAGCAGGAAGUAAGGAGGGACCUAGCUUUACUGAAACAGAGGACGAAGCGUUGUGUCGUCUCACAUCUAUUUAGGGGAUAUCGGGAAUUGGAUGACAUUCAAUGGGAUGAAGGGCCAAGUAACAGAAAUGAGGGAGAGGAAAAGGAAGAUGAAGGGAUUGAAGGGGGUGAAGGGCCAAGUAAUAGAAAUGAGGGAGAGGAAAAGGAAGAGGAGGGGAUUGAAGGAGAGGAAAAGGAAGAGGAGGGGAUUGAAGGGGGUGAAGUGCAAGGAAUACCAAGUGAGGUAGAGGAAGGGCAAAGGAAAAGAAGUGAAGGAGAGCAAGUGCAAGUAAAAAGUAGCAAAGGAGAGGAAGCCCAAAGACAGAGCAGUGAGGGAGAGGAAGUGAAAAGAAAAAGCAGUAAGGGAGAGAAACUGCAAAGGAAAAAAAGGGAGGGCAAGGAAGUGAAAACACAAAGAAGUGAGGAAAAGGAAGUGCAAAGAAACCAAUGUGAGAAAGAAGAUAAUGAAGUUAUGUUGCUUGGGGAUGACAUUGGCGAGAGCACGGAGGGGACACUGCUUGAGUUUACUGUCGGGGACAUUGAUUUGGAUCAACCUACAGCUGUGCUAUCUCAGUUGAACGUGUGGUUGAAUGAUAAAGGUAAAGCUGUGGCACAAGGGGUCCAAUUACGGAAAAGGAAGAGGAUCAUUCCUAUGUGGAAGAUCAUUGAAGGCAUUGAAUUGGUUCCAAAAACUGGGGCACAGACAACCGGACUGAAGAUGUUAGACCCAAUGAAGGCGAUUCCGCAUGAUGAUCUGGUGAAUUUGCUGAAACUUUGUUGGGAAUGGCGCCAGGACCCAAAGUAAGUCCCUUGCAAUUAUAAGAUAGAAGCACGACUGUAUAUAAUUUUUAAUAUACAGUGUUCUAAAACUGUUUUAUAUUCAUAGUUUAGUGAUGCAAUUUGGCAACGUGGAAGCUGAGAUUGAAUUCUUCGCUUCCCUCGUGAAAGCUGAUGGUUGGCUGAAAGGAGAUGUAAGUGUAAUUGAUUAUGCAUUUGUUUUAAUGUAUAUAGAUUAUGAGAUUGACAAGAACAACAUGUUGCAGCACAUUGAGUUGGGGUUGUAUCUCAUCCGGAAGCGACAACAACAGUUUGAGGAAGUAGAAAUAGCGGACUGGACAACGACAGAUGUUUUUUUUAUGGUAUGUCAUCGGCCUUGACCAAGUGCCGUUAAUAAUUACACAUUUUCCAUACAGACAAUAGUGGAGGUGUUUAACCAUUGAUUGUUUUGUAUUUCACAGAAUCACAUUCGAACUUGCUUUGCGGAUAAUAAAAGAAAAAAACAGCAGCUUGGGUGGAAAAUCAGAAAAAGUUUACUAAACGUUGUAAAUGGGAAGGUUCCUCCGUGUGGGAUGGAUUGGCAGAACGUCUAUACGGUGUAUACCCCAGUUAUGUUGACGAAGUACAAGCAUUGGGUGGCUGUAAUGAUUGAUCUGGUAUUGUGUGAAAUCAAAGUGUACGAUUCAAAGGUUUCACUAAUUCCAGAUGACAUCGUAAAGGAAGAACUCGCCCCGCUAUCAAUUAUGCUUCCAAAUCUUCUCAACACCAUCGACUUUUAUGAAGAAGGUGUUUAUGCAAACAAUUGCAUGCGAGAUUGGUGGUGUCCGUGGCCAAUAGAGCGUGUGGAUGUUCCACAACAGUCUAAUGAGUAAGCACAACUUGCAAUUUAAUUUUAUUACUUUCAAUUGUCAAUUACGUUAGAAUGUCAUUAGUUGAAUUGAUCGAGUUCUUGUUUUGCUUCAGAGGCGAUUGUGGCAUGUUUGUGUUAAAGUACAUUGAGCUUAUCAGCGCUCAGCUUUCGUUAGCUAUUUGCACCUCGCACAACAUGCCUUUUUUUCGGUUGAAAUUGGCUGCGGAGAUAACAAGGGGAGAUGCUUACUUCCCAUGAUAUUGGUUGAAGAUGACAAAUGGUACAUGAGAAGGUUUUGGGAAUGUCCAUUCUCAAACUAAUGUAAAUACACAAUAGAGACGUACGUGUCCUUUUCGAAUUCUACCGCUAACUCCUUCAUGACAUUUACAUGUUUGUUAACCAAACUGCAUUGAAUUGGAAUUUUAAGACUGCAUAUGUUAAUUGGGAUUUGAAGAUGGCUUUUUAAGUGUAUUACACCAUUGCAAAGUGAUAUGUCAUUGUUGAUGCAAGCCACCAUUAUUCGCAAUGAGUUGCAUCAUAAUAGGUGUGUAAACAUGCGAAAGGUUUUCGGCAGCUCAGUAGCAUAAAAGUAGAAACAAUUACAAUAUACACAAAAUGAACAACAAUUCACUUGCGUUUGGACAAGCAAUACAGACACAACAGACAAACAAUAUACACAAAAUUGGCCUGCCAUAUACAGACAUACACACAGUAGACAUGCAAUAUACACACAGUAGACAUGCAAUAUACACACAAUAGACAUGCAAUAUACACACAAUACACAUGCAAUAUACACACAAUACUCCCUUAACACACACAAUAGACAUGCCCUUGCCCACAAUAAUGAUGCAAUAUACUUCAGUCCCCAAGUACACCAACCAUAAGGAAGUCGUAUUGAAUAGGAUAUUAAACUUAACAGUUGUUCUUCCUACUAAAAGAAAGAAUAACGUCCGUUUCCCCCCUUCAUUCUUACUUCAGUGAUACUUGUGGCCCCAAUAAACAUCCAAUAUUGGGUCAAGGAUAUUCCAUAUACAUGCAGCAAACUAUCAAUAAACCUUCAAUAAACAUUCAAUAUCGGUUCUAUAACAUGCGAAAUACAUGCAGUUAACAAAUAUUACAAAAUGGGUUUAGGGUCUCAUUGGUGGUGCGUGCAACAUGUCUUGUGCGGAAGAACUUUCACAAUCUUUGAAACCAUGCAGUUAAAUGAUCCUUAAAAGAACAAAUAAAAUGACAAUUGAUACAACUAAUAAAACUAAUACCAAGUCCUUAAUGGACUUCAGCAUGUUCAGCACUCUAGCAUCAUACGUGUCAUCUUGAUGUUCUGCUUCAGCGGAGGUUACAUCAACCCAUUCGAAUCCAUUGCAACUGGUGGCUCCCUAAUUGCAGGCAUCAUAUAUGGAAUAUAAUUCUGUUAGAGUUAGACAUGGGUUUAUUUUGACCCACAUACAUAUUAUUGAAAUUAAAACUUACAUAGGAGGUUAGACACUUCCAGAAUGGCUUCCCUCGAUUUUUGUCAGAUUUUGAAACCCGAAGCACCAUUGUAGCUCCACAAUACUGACACCUCUUUGUUUGAGCAGGAGAUGAAGACGAAGACAUGUUGAAUCUUCUCAGUUGUACCUCUUCUCACUCAGAUCUUCUCACUGAAACCUCUUCGGACUCAUACCUUCUCACUCAUCGUUGUCAUUCAUACCCCUUCACUCAUAACCCUAAACUUGUCACUCAGCUCUCUCUCAUCUCUGCCCAAAUCGAGUUAUAUUUCUUUUUUUUGGGAUCAUUUGGUGGGUUGGUCACGAUCUCGACACCCGUACCGUCGGCAUUGCGACAUCUUUUAGCCCGAAAAGCAAUAUAAACUACUUCACUACCAAAUAUAUUUUCUGAAAAAUGAGGGGACACUGCUUCAAAUUUAUUAUUUUAUAUAUAUUUCAUUAAGGCAACUAGUUGGAUAAGAAUCCGUCAUUAUUGGUUCCAUUUGAAUAACAUUACUAGGGGUAGUUGGGUGUGGGAAAAUGAAAAAGUAUAUGAUGGGACCUUCUGUCACUACUCAGUAAUCCAUCACAUUUGUAUCAAUGAAUUUGAUAGUGGGAUAAUCCCACAAAUGGCUAUGCAAAUAGCCAUUUAAUGAACUUUUUGACUGUCUGACUCUGUAUGCACCGUUAUGACGUUUUCCCUUCUUUUGUCUUCAGUUUUAAUUCACUUGGGUUCAGUUUCUUUAAAAAUGGUCAACUUGGAAAAACCCCAACUGGAAACACCUUUUCAAAACACUAUAAACAGAGGCUAAAACAAAACGUGUACCCCAAAUAUUCUCAUUUAUCCCCUCUGCCACUCCUCAAAUCGUUCCAUUCCAAAAACUUUUCAAUGAAUUCGAAACACUUCACUACAGUCGGAGGAAAGAGAAGGAAGCAUCUCCAUUUCGAUAUGCCCGAAGCCUUCAUCCCGGAGUCCGCUUGGUUUCAAGUGAUGUUAUACGUGGCAACCGAAUCAUCGGAAGAUCUCUUCCGUAUGGCAUCUGUGUGCCCAUUGUUCCAAACUUUGGCAAACAGUCCACAAGUGUGGAACACCAUUUCAAUGGCAAAGUACCCACACCAUCCUAGCUGGUACCGUGCCAGACCUGCGGUCCAGCAUUUCUUGCAACAAUGCAGGGCUUGCGAUAACCCUGAGUCGAUAUUUAGAGAAGCAUUCGAUAUUUUUUUCAGGGCCAGUAAGGUGGAAGCGUUGUAUGGGAUGCGCAUUGCAGCCACGGCAGGCCAUAUGGAAGCGGCAUAUGUAGUUGGACUACUUGGUAUAUCCGGAAUUGGUCAGUCAAAAGAGGAUGCAUUACAAUUCUUGUGUUCUUUGAAUCAACGUAACAACAUUGAUAUGAAAGGAACCAGGGAUGCUUUGACACGAAGAUUAACCGGACCAAGAGUUGCAAGACAUAUCGUAGAUAUAUUUGACUAUGGGAAGAUUAAGUUCAAUCGCUGCAGCACUUGUAACAACAAUGAAUGGUAUUUUGUUAUUCAAGGCUGGCCUAGUGAAGACAAGAUAAAUCCUGCCUUCUAGACUUGUUGCAAUCGAUGCAAAUGGCACCGUGAGAGUAUUUUUUGGUUCAAACUGAUGCGUGAGUAUGUUGUGCGAGGGAAUCAUGUAUUUUUGCAUUAGUUUUAGUACGAAUUUACGGUUUUGAUGCAUUGUGGACUUACUUCUCUUCACUUCUAGGUUGGCUGGCUACGUUGUACAAAUGUUGUUUAAAUGUUGUUUAAAUGUUGGUAUUUUGUCAUAAACCGUUUUAUAUAUAAAUGUAUAAUAUUUAUUAUAUAGCGGAAUUAUUACUUACAUCAUAGACGGCUACGAAUGACAUUUUACUGACACAGAUAUUUUGCUCACCCACCCCAAUAUUCAUAUUUGGUAAACGAAAAGUCAUGCAUGGAGUAAAUAGGUGUCUUUUCACCAAUGCUUGGGAAUGACAUUUUCCCACUUAGCAUAUUCGACAGGAUUUGGUUACACGUUUCUUAAGCAAAAGUUGAACAGUGAAUGACGUUGAAUAAUUUGUUUGUGUGGAAGGAGUACAAUGGAUGACUUGUAUAUUUCCAUAUUAUGUUUGAAAACAUCCCUUCAACCUAAAAAAUAAAAAAAUUAACAAAUUGAAGAACAGAGAAACCGAUGAGCACUACAAAUGGCCUAUUCGCACGGAAAAUAAAAUUGUUUUAAACAAGUUGGACUAAAUAUAAUUAACAAAUGGACAGCCUAAAAAGUAAUAUCAUAAUAAUUAUAAUAAUUGUGGAUUAAUAAUAAUAAAAUACUAAUGUAGCAUAACCAUGAAACAGGGAAUUCAGUAGGAAGAUGAAAUCUCAAUAAGUUCGUUGAAAUGUUCGGAUCGUUUUUCUAAUUUUUGUGUAUUUAGUUCUGAAUUUUCCAAGAAAAAAAGUAAUUAAAUAAUAAUUUAGGGUAAAAUGGGAUGAUGUGGCCAUGUUGACUGACGUACACUUGUGCAAGUACUCAUAAGUGAGGGGCUGAGAUCGCGCCAGGUGUCUUCUUGGAAUUAGGGUUGGCUAUUUUAGUGGAAAAAUCCUUGAAAAUAGGUAAAAAAUAGUAGGAAAUUCCUAUUCUAGGUUGGGAAAAUUACCCGCGCCUCCUUGUGACGUCAUAAAACUAGGAGAACCUAUAAAUCAUCCGUCUCGCAAUGAAAUAAUCCAAAAUGUUUUACAUAACUCACUUCCCUCUUUACCCUAAGUAUUGAUGUUUGUUAACUUGAACUUCAAUAACCUACUUCAACAAGCAUCUCCCGUUAAUGUUGGGAAUAAUUGUCUAAAAUGCGUAACAAUGAAUCGGAGAAUUCAGCAAGGGAGAUGGAGUGUCAAUGAGUUCGUAGCAAUUUUCGGAAAUAAUUUUGAAUUUUUGUGUAUUUAGUUAUGAAUUUUGUAAGACAAAGUAAUAAAAUAAUAAUUUAGGGUAAAAUGGGAGGAUGUGGCCAUGUUGACUGACGUACACUUGUGCAAGUAGUCAAAAGUGCCGGGCUGAGAUCGCGCCAGGUGUCAUCUUCUUUUCAAUUUUGGAUUCUUUUGUUAAAAAAUCUUUGAAACUAAGUAAUAAAUAGUAGGAAAAUCCUAAAAAUGCCCCCAAAAUUACUCCGGCCUACUUGUGACGUCAUAAAACUAGGAGAACCUAUAAAUCAUUCGUCUCGCAAUGAAAUAAUCCAAAUUGUUUUACAUAACUCACUUUCCUCUUAACCCUAAGUAUUGAUGUUUGUUAACUUAAACUUGAAUAACCUACUUCAACAAGCAUCUCCCGUUGAUGUUCGGAAUUAUUUUUAAAAAUGCGUAACAAUGAAUCGGAGAAUUCAGCAAGGGAGAUGGAGUGUGAAUGAGUUCGUAGCAAUUUUCGGAUAAUUUUUUUAAUUUUUGUGUAAUUAGUUCUGAUUUUUGUAAGGAAAAGUAAUAAAAUAAUAAUUUAGGGUAAAAAGGGAGGAUGUGGCCAUAUUGACUGACGUACACUUGUGCAAGUAGUCAUAAGUGACGGGCUGAGAUCGCGCCAGGUGUCCUCUUGCUAUUAUUUUGGCUUUUUUAGUGCAACAAUCUGUGGACAUAGGUAAUAAAUUCUACGAAAAUCCAAAAAAUGCCCGGAAAAUGAGAAAAUGAAAAUUAUUUGUACAUAACUCACUUUCCUCUUAACCCUAAUUCACGUGUAACACGUAUAUUUCGGAUAAUAUUCGAUAUAUAAUUUGUAAUAAUACAAUAUUUAGUUUCACUAUAUACAAUAAUAUGUUUUGUUAUAAUAAUGUACAUAAAUAAUAAUUGCACAUGCUUUGAAGCCAUCAUUGCAACUACGCCUAGAGCUUUCAAGACGUCAGUUCGUAUUCAAUAAGUUGUCCACAUGCAAGUGCACCUACAGUUUUCAACACGUCAGAGGUAUUCAAUAAGUUGUCCACAUGCAACUGCACCUAGAGUUAUUAACACGUCAGAGGUAUUCAAUAAGUUGUCCAUAUGACGCCGCAUUGGGAAUCAGUAAUAUAUUUUCAAUCAUGUCCAAUCACAUAAAAUAAUGGCAUACUUUUUCUCAAUAACCUCACACAAGUGAAGCAAUUUUAAAACCCUUACUGAAUAUUUGUCCUAGUCUAUAUGAGUGAUUAUAUAAUCAGUCUGCAUUUUUUUCACAGUAUAUGUUAACUUUGAGAGGGAUUCCACAAACAUAAAAUAUAAAGAAAGCAAGAAAUAGUAGGAGAUGAACCAGUAGAAAAAACAAUAUAUAAAUGGUACAUAAUAAUUCCAUAACCUUGUCACAAACGCACUCACAAAAGCUUUUCCAUAAACCUUGUCCUAACAUAUAAUAAAUAAAGGCAACAUUGCAUAUGAUGCAACCAUGUCCAAAUCUGAUACGUGAUCAAAAACAAAUGGACAUGGCAGCAACAUAUGACUGAAGUAGAUGGGCUCUUUGCAUCUUGUGUUUUCGUAAUUAAAGACAUCAAAAUAUUAAGGUUUAAAUCUUCCAUAGUAGUUAGCAUCAAAAUAGCUUUGAAGCAGAGUGUAAAGAAAAUUCCAAUUCCACUGAUUUGCCUCUGCUCAAACACGAGAACCAAAAUGGUUACUUCCCUUGCUGAGUAUAUUUGGUGACGUCGGAAACGGUAAUAGAUGAUCAAUCAAACCCAGGUACGACGAGUUUUGCAUAGGAUCGGAAGUAGUCGAAUCCAGCUUGCAUCACACGCUUCUUUGACUCCACUGCAUUAGAUGAGUUCUUGUAUUUUUGAACAGCUACACUCCGAAGUCGUUUGUGUCUACGCUUCAUGCGCUGCAACUUCACCCUAUCCAGAUUGGCCUGCCUUUUGUCAUCUUCAAUUUGGCCUUCAACAAAUUCCAAACGUGCCCUUGCCCUUUGGAUUUCAUCACCAAGUUGAAGAUGCCUCUCCUUCCAAAAAGCAACAACUCUUUCAGACUCAAAACUUCCAACAAAAUGGUCAUUCUGUCUAGGAAUGUGACAUUGCUUGUCUGGUGACUCACUUGCGUGUCGAAGGCGGUCUUUGUUUGGAGGGGUGUUUAUUAUGCUCACAUCAAACUUGGUUAGUAAAUCCAUUCUUUGGGGGGAAUGAGUUUGUUUGCUUGAGAGAGUAUCAGUAGAUGGAGACAGAUUCGGUGGAGGAGUGAGUUUUGUGUGGAAGGAGAAUUUAUAUGAAAGGGGUGAUAGUAAUACCAAGAAAAGGGUUCCCGCCAAAAAAUAUUUGGUUGAGAAUGUAUAAAUUAAUUUUUGGUCUGAUACAAUCUAAGUUGAAUCCUAACUAGUUUGGUUGAGUUAACUAAGUAGAUGUCACUUCCAUUGAGUUUCUUUCAACCACUAUCAGUGGUGUCAGGAGAGUGUGAGGUUGACAUGCUUGAAAAGCAAAACCUGACACCUAUUUUUAAAAAAUUCCAUAAAAAAAGUACAUAUGUUGACUACACACAAGCUUUGGUAUGUUGGUCUAUAAACCUAUGUUCCCUUUCUCAAACGAAAUUGCAUAUGCAAUCCUCAUCCUCCCAAAACAAAGAGGAUUAUUCAAGCAUGUCAACCUCUUCAGGCGCCAACAACACAAUCGAAGAUGACAAAUUGGAGUCGCAGGUUCUAUUUCCACAUUGUACUCGCCGACCCCUUCCUUUUUCAACAUCAUUUGGGAGUGAGGGGGACUCCGAUGAUCCAUUAGAGGCAAUACAUGCAGUCAGUGGCAAGCUGGAUUAUAAUUCCAGACUGAUCAAUUCAUGGCACGAGAAAUGUGUUGAAGACGAGGCAAUUUUGGCUGAUCUUAACAUUAGAGUGAACAAAGCGUUCUCCCAAAAGAACAAGUACUUGAAGCUGAGUCAUAGCAGGAAGCUGAAAGCUGAGGAGUUGGAUACAGUAAUGAAUGAUGAAAUGAAAGGUUGUUUGCUGAACCACAUGCGAUGCGAAGAGCACCAUAGUGAACUGGAGUUGGCAUUCAACGAAGGAUUCGACAAAUUUCGAGCAUUUGCGGCAACUACUCAUACAAGUUAUGAUUGGAACUAUGUGUCCCCUGAUGCUGUGAGAGAGAUACUAGACGAUGGGGGUGACAUGAAUGAGCAUAAGCACGUCAAAGCUGCUCGGAAGAAGCCGACCGAUACGACUAAGUGAUUGCGGCUACCGCUGUUCAGUUGGUUGAGGGUGACCGUGGUAUUGCACAUAUACUCCCUUAAUGUCAUUAUCUAAUUUCAAAUAACACAAAUAUCAGUUUCAUUUGCUUCAUAUAUAAUUAUUGGGACUAUGUAUUGCAAGUCAUCAUGUGUUAUAAUGUCUAACAUUAUAUUUUGCAAAUAUGGAAAUAUUAUUCAAUAAGCAGUCAAUAUCACAGCAAGCCGGGAAUCAGUAAAUGCUCCUUAUCAUGUCCAUUUACAUUAAAGAGCUGGCGUACUAAUGUGUUCAAAAAAAACUGAGACGUGAGUCAUAAGUAACAUAACAUGUGCUAUACAUUGUUUACUGAAUGGUUUAUGGUUUAUUUUUAUAUAAUAAAAUUCCAAAUAUUGCUGAAGAUUUAUUUCGUCUAUAUGACUAGGGAUAUGAGUGGCCAUAAGCAUGUGAGACCUGCUAAGAAGAAGCUGACGAGUACGACCGAGUGAUUGUGGCUACCGUUGUUCAGUUGGUUGGGGAGAUCGUGGUAUUGCUAAGAGGGAGCACAUAAUAUGUUUUGCAAUCAAAUGUUCUUUUGUGUGUGGAAUUAUGAGUAUUUAUGUAAGUUAGUGUACCCUUUAAUAUUUUUCACCUAAGUAUCGAAAUGUAAUUAGCUGCAAUGUUAUGUUUCAUUUUUACACGCUGCUUUCUAUUUGCUCUGUUCCAACAAAGUGCUUCAAGUAUCCUUCAGUUACAAAAGUGUACAAAAUCGUGCCCCUAAUAACCAGUCGUCAAAAGUGGCUACUGCUGGAAAUGAUUACUGGUAAUGGAAACAACAGCUGGCUGCUGGAAAUGCUGCAUUAGCCUGAGGAUUUGAAAAAUGAAUCUCUGUUAAAACAUAAUUCACCCUAAACUGCCCAUUUUACAUGGUAAAGGUCAUUGCUUCUUCACAUAACUACAAAUUUCAUACUUGAUCAAAUGUCUAUGAAAAUUUAUAAAUAGGGAGAAGACGUAAAAUUAACAUGUCUCCAAAUUUCAUGGAAGAAUGAAACCAAGGAAAUUUUCAUUUCAAUUACCAGUGGACAUAGUAAGAGCUCAUCGGUGGACAUGAACAAAAACACAAUAAUAUUCAAAAACUGAAUCUAUAAAACUUCACCUGAUCAUUAAUCUUCAUAACAACCACAUUUCGUCUAAUACAAAUAUAAAUCAUUUAGUUGGUCCGUGCAUCCUGUCAAAAUCGUCGAAUAAUGGGUCACUACGAUGUAUUGGAGUUGAUUCGUCAUUGUUCGACGGUGAUGUCCUGCAUAAACAUCAAACACAAGCACAUAAAAAUUUUACCUUUUCAUAUUUUAGAUGUUAUUACAACUAGUGUUAGCAUCUUACGGUGUGUUCAAGGCUGGGCAUUGUCUUCUAUCAUGACCAAUGUGUCCACACUCCCGACAGUGUCUAAUCCCUCGCUUCAUUGCCUUUUCCUUUGCUCCCGUUACUCCUUUCGACCUUCCUUUGCACCUCACUCUCUUAGGGUCUUUCAUAUAUUGUGUUUGAGAGCUGGACCCUCCAACUUCGUUAUUACUUAGUCCAUCCUUCAGCAACUUUAACUUCACCUGCAAACUUUUUAGAGUCUCUGACAGUAGCUCACAUCCUUCUUCACUCAUUAAUGCAUCCUCAACCACAUCUGAAGCAAGUCGAGACAUUGUACUCCGCUUUAUUAGAAGGCCAGGAUCUGCACAGUCUUUAAUUUCGUUGCCAUUUGCAUCUGACACCAUUCCAGAUUUCGCAGUUUUCUUCCACCUCUUCAAAAUAUAUUUAUCGGGCAUAUAUUCAAUCUGGUCCCUUCUGAACAAUGCUAGGAUGUGCUUGCAAAUAAUUCCAACAAAUUCAAAUCUUUUGCAGCUACACGAUGCGUGGUCAGAAUCUUUGACAUAUACGACUUCUGCCACUCUUGUUUCCCAAUUUUUCCUUUCGCUCACGUUAAAGACAACUUUACAAGCAUCCUCUGUUUUGAGCUCUAGGAAACAUGCUGUACUUUGUAUUAGUUCUUGCUCAAACUUUUGAAACAUUGUCCUUGUGUACAAGGUAGCCAUUUGUUUGUUCAUUGGCAUCGGUAGAAGACAUUGAGCCACUUCAAAUGCAUCUACGUGAUCAGCAACUAACUCUUUUUCACGUUGAUGAGAAAGUGCCCUCUCAAAUCGUAUUAUGAAAUCCAUCAACGAAUUUCUCCUUGAUAUGUAUUGCUUGAAAAAACCAUGAGAACCUUCCGCUCUUUGGCUGCUUGACAUUCCAGCGGCAAAAAAUUGUCGUGCGUAGGCUGGAACCCAAGAUUCCCUUAAAUCAAACAUUGAACUUAGCCAUGGAUGGUCGGUCAAACCAGCCUUUGUAACCACAAUAUUCCAUUUUGCAUCAAACUCAUCCUUAUUGUCAGUAUCCCAUAUGGCUUUCUGAAAUUCACGCCAAUACUCCUUAUAAGCGUCACGUGGUAACUUAACAGAGAACUUUGAUGUGAUGUGCCAUAUGCAAAGUCGAUGAAAUGUACUCGGGAAGGCUAUUGAAAUCGCUAUGGCCAUUGCCGCAUCUUGAUCUGUAAUGAUCGUUUUAGGUUCCCCACCUGGCAUGGCUUUCUUAAACUCCUCAAACAUCCAAACAAACGACUCAGUCGUUUCCUUGCUCAAAAAUGCACAUGCUAAGACAAUUGUUUGACCAUGGUUAUUAACUCCCAACAUUGGUGCAAAUGUCAAGUCGUAUCGAUUCGUGUUGAAUGUGGUAUCGAAUACAACAACAUCUCCAUAAAACCCAUACGCCCGUCUAGAAGUUGCAUCUGCCCAAAAACAUCGACUAAACCUGUCAUGCCCAUCUCCCUCAAUCUUGAAAUAAAAAGCCUCAUUUUUUUUCUGUUCAGCCAUAAAAUACUCGGUCACUAGUUCAACAUCGUGGUUCCUCAGCUUCCCAUUCACACUACAUUCAAGAUUGUAGAUAUCUUUUUUGAUAAAACCGAUUUUAUCCAUUCCUCCGGAUUGCACCUUGAAAAUACUUACCUUAUGAUGAAUGGGAAUAUUAACUGAACCCAACUGUUUUGUGAGUACUUUGUAGAAUCUGAAAUAUGACGGUGUGAUCUCAAUAAAUGCAUUCUUUCUGAGGGUGUCAUCUUAUGAUUGUGUCCCUCUGCAAAAAGAGAUAUGGUAUACUUCUUGCUCCCAUUUGUCUUCACAACCACAAUCUUAGCUUUGCAAUUGCAUCUACUUAUUCCCCGUUGUCUUUUUCUCUCCCGAGUUUCAUCCUUCCUGUAUGCACCUUGUUUGCAACAUACAAAUUCUUUCCUCAAAAUCUCUUUCUUAUUUUUCCCCCAAAAGCUAGAAUGAAGUCGAAUACCAAAGCCAGCAAAGAAUGCAUAUCUAUUAUAGAAAUUGUAAACGAGGUCAAGCGAGUCAAACUUCAUCCCAACUGCUGGUGUUUCCUCAUUUCUUACUUCAGGAAUAUAAACCCUCCCAUUAGCUGUUGCACAUUCAUCACUCUCUGAGCCCCCAGACAUUUUAUCUACGUAUAUUAUUGAUCCACUUCUAUAUUACUGCAUAGCAAUUAUUCAUUCAUUAAUCAGUCAUUACUGCAUCACAACAUAUCAAUGCAUUCCACUUACACAAAACAUUGCCCAAAUUGACACAAAAUACGCAUAGCCUAACUUCCGAUUACACAAAACGCAAGCAAAAUUUCAUAAAAGUUACGUCAUCUCUUGUGAAAUAAUCUGGUCAAAAUAACAUUAGAACCAACAUGUUCAACUAAGAACACAAAUGUAAUUCAAACCACCAAUUACAGAACUUCACCCAAUAUCCUCUCCAACUGCUUACUCCUAAUGUCAUUAAGCCUAAGUUUAGGUUCUUUUACCUACAUUUCAUAAUUUUCCACCCCGACCAACAACAAUGAACUAAGAAUAUUGAAUAUUCAUAAGGAAAUGACACAUUAUUGAUGCCACAAAUGACGAAUUUCCCACCCUCACAAAAGAUAAACCUAACCCAAUAAAAUCAAUCCAGCAAGUGAACUUACCUCUCAAAAUCAAUCGGGAGCUCUGAAGUCAGUCAGCUUGAAAGAAUGUGGUGGACAUUACAGAAGACUCUUUGGUAUUUGAGACUCCAUCUCUACCAAAAUCGAGGAACAACUGCUGCUGCGGCUUCUAGCUACAAAAACAGAUAUGCUACUUUGCUUUCAUCUGGAAUCUUGUCAGCUGAAUGAAAAAGAGAAGGGGUUUUCACUUGAGCCAUAGAAUCAAAACAGGGCAACAGCUAGGUAAGAGCCAUUCUUCGUAAUACCCAGGAUACCAUAGAUCGCAGGCCUCCCAACGAGCUAAUGACAGUCGAGUGACUAUAAGGUUUGGGAGAUUUGGAUCCUUCUAAUUGUGGGUUUGCUUUACAUUCAAAAAGAAAGGAUUGUGUUCUUCAGUUUUUCACAGAGAGGGAAAGAGGGGAACAACUGAAGUUGGGUUUCUAACGGGUUAGAUUUCAACCCGAUUCUACAUGCACCCUCUUUUAAAAACUCACCGUUGGAUGAAAUCCAACGGCUCUUACAUGCCCCUCAAAAACACCCCUUAUAACUUCCCACUCACUAUAGAAGCUCCCCUGUUUGUGUUGUUGAAUUGGGUCUUUUAGUUGUUUUUGUAAACUCUGAUUUAAGUCUAGUUUGGUAUUGCUGUACUUUUAAAAAAAACUACUUCCGCUGUGCUGCUAGAAUACUCAGCUGUAAAAAAAAUUAGUUAUGCUUUUGGUAAACUAUAUUUGAAAAAGUGCUGUGAGUAAUCCAAAUGUUUGGUAAAUGACCAAAAAAAAGUGCUUUUAAUACGUACAAUGACUAAAAAGGACAUGAUGAUGGAACUAUUUGAUUUUUUCUUCAUUCUUUUUCUACUUAAAAAAAACUUCACUACAUAAUUUUUUUUUCUUUUUUUAUUUAUACUAUACACGUGUUCCUCUCUUCUCAAAAAAGUAAAUGCCUUUUGUUAUGUAUUGAAUGCUAACCCAACGACACCAAUUGGAAACCCAACACAGCCCAUCUCUCCACUUCAAUUUUUCUCUUUCUACCAUUUACAAGUUUUUUUUCUUCAUUCCUUCGUCUAACCAAAAAUAUCUCAUGUUUCCCCCAAUUAGUUUUAGUACUUUUGGGUAGGUGAGACUGAAAAGGGGAAAAAUUGUAUGUUGGGUUUAUGUUUUGGUGUUCUUGCAAUGGGAGAUAACAUAGUGGAGAAAGUAGCCAUGGUGAAAAUACAGAUUUCUGGGUUGCAGCCAUGGAGAUUUGAGCUGAUUUACAGUGCUGUAGUGGGGGUAGUUGAAGCCCCCCCAAAGUUGGGACUACUGCAACAGGAUCUUUCCACCCAAAACCAAAAACAAGAACAACAAACUCAGGUGGAACAUGAAACUCAUCACUCUCUCUCUUCCUUCGACUCGGGUUUUCUCUCUUCUUCCUCAAACCUGCGACAAAUAGAAAAACCCCCAAUUUAACAGAGAAAACUCUAGAUGCAGAAAGUUUGAGAAGUAGAAAACCAAAAAACCAUAAUUGUAAUUAAGUUAUUGAUGAAUGGGCAACCUUCUUAGCAAUUAAUUUUUUGAUGUCCACAAUGAGAGUUCCAGCAGCGUCAGAGAGUAGAGAAGGAAAUGAAGGAAAUAGAGUUCACAGAAUGGAGAAGAAAAAAGGGGCAAAAGACCGUCAAUUUGUAAAAUAAGUGAGGGUAUUACGGGAAAGUUAAAAGUUCAUUAAAACAACCGGUUAAAUUUUUUUUGAAGCAGCUUUUAAAAGCUUGGUAGAGACGGCUUCGAAAAAACAGCGAUCAUUGACUGCGAUUUUAAAAAAAAGCAGGAUUCCUGAUGUUUUCCAAACACCCAACUCAUGAAAUUUUUUUAUUAAAGCUGCUUUUUAAGAAAAUUAAACGCUGCCAAACACCACCUUAACCAUUUUCUUUGCGUGUGCCAAAUUUAUAAUUUUGACCAGUGUCAUGCAGGAAAAUGUUUCAUGCUUUGUUAACAGGGGGCUUUCGAUGAGUAUUUUAUUUAGAUGAAAAGUGAUUCAUUCCUUUCCUUUAUGGAUUCAUCUUGUUAGGUUGAUCUAUUGAAGAAUGAGCUUGGAUUUGAUGAGGCUUUUAACUAUAAAGAAGAGGCUGACUUGAAUGCGGCUUUCAAAAGGUGCAUAUGAGUAAUGAUAGAGAGAUUACAUUUAUAAACCCUAGCGGACCAUGAAUAUAAUGAGUCUUAAAUCUAUUAGACAAUUGGUUAGUUGACAGGUGGUAUACAAAGCAGUCUACAAAUGUGAUCUCCCUAUCAUUUUCCGUAAAAUACAUAUUUAUUAUGUUAUACUAGUUUCCUUUAGUAAGAAAAGAAAGGAAAAAAACUAUUAUUAAGAAUUUGUGUGUUGUUAGGGUUCAUCAUUGGGCUGGGCCAACUCAAAAAUUUUGGGUUCGAGCCGAGCCCUCAUGGGCCGAAAUGGGCCAGACUUUUUGUUAAAAAGUCUUUUCAAUCUUUUUGUUACACAUUUCGUUUUUUCAAAAGUGAUGGAUAUAGAGUAUUCUCUUAAACAAUAGUAUAGAUUACUACAUAAUUUAAGAAAACAAAAAUAUAAUAGCCAAACUUUUUUACUAAACCUAGACCAAUAACCAAUAUAUUUAAAAAAUAUUAUACCUAAAAAUGAAUCUUAUGAUGUGCAAUUUGUGCCUUAAUUAACUUAUAUCCCAAAUUAGGAUUGACAUCAUGAAAAUUAAAGCAAUUUGUGCCUUUAAAAUUAAUAAACCCAGAAUAAGCUUUCAAAUUCUUUAUUGAACCGUUAAAUUUGAACUUGACAAAAAAGGGGCACUAAGAGAUAUAGUGCAUAUAUUGCUUGUUUGUUACAAAAUUUUAGACAACAUUGAAAAAAUUAACUUAAUUUAUAACAUGUGUAAACAAAAUAAAAAGUUUAUUAGUUUAUCAUACAUAUUACAUUAUUUUGAUUAAGUAUAAAAUGAGGUUAGGGAAUGCAUCAAUUAAUCUUAAAAAAAUGAAAAGCAUAAGCGGGCGGGCCGAGCGGGCCUAACCAUCUUGCUAGGCUGGACUUUGACCCAUCAAGCCUCGGACUACCCACUUCGGAGCCGCGGGCCAAAUGAUGAUCCCUAUAUGUUGUAUAUGAUGCUUUGAAGCUUGAGCUUUCUUGAGUGAAGGAUAAAUUUUCUUUGUAAUUACCAUACACUUGCCAGGUAUUUCCCUGAAGGCAUUGAUAUUUACUUUGAGAAUGUUGGAGGCAAAACGCUAGACGCAGUGCUCCUCAACAUGAGAGUCCAUGGCCGCAUUGCUGUAUGUGGAAUGAUCUCACAGUACAAUCUUGAUCAAGCAGAAGGGGUAACAAAUUUGAUGCACCUUGUGUAAAAACGUAUCCGCCUCCAUGGAUUUUCGGUAAGAGAUCACUAUCACAUCCAUCCGAAAUUCGUGGAGUUUAUGCUGCCUUACAUUAGGCAAGGAAAGAUUGUUUAUGUGGAAGACAUAGUUGAAGGCCUUGAGAGUGGUCCAAGAGCGCUGGUUGGACUUUUUAAGGGUCUUAACUUUGGAAAACAAGUAGUUGACGUCUCUGCAUGAAUAAGUUGUUUUGUCAAUCGAUUUGGUGUGCUUGUGUUUCUAACCACUAUAACUUUGUUAAGUGGCUCUUUGGUUUUAUUUUUAUGUUUUUGGAUCCUUUUUGGGAUUGCAUAUGUUAAGUGGUGCACUUUGUCAUACAGAAGAUAUUCAUCAAUAAUAAGGGCUAAUUCAGGAUUGUUGUCACUUUUAAAAAAAGAUGCUUCUGUUGUGUUUUGGAAAUAAUAAGCUGUAAAGUAGUUCCAUGCGUGUUAAACAAUAUUUUUAAAGUGUUGUUAGUAUAAAAAGUUAUGUCAAAACCGUUUGGUAAAUUUUGAUAUAAAACUAGUAACUGUUGAUAAUGACUAAAACAUACAUGAUAUGUCGAAAGUGUUACGUGGUAACCAUAUGGUGGUGGUGGCGGUGGUGGUAUAGGUGGAGGUUGAGUUGGUGGUGGUGGUGGAGGUGGAGGUGGUGGUGAGGCGUGCUACGGGCACCAACUUAAAUACUAAUUUAAUGAUACCAACCUAUGUGGCAUAUGACAUGACAAUUUAUGUCAUAUGCCACAUCAUUUUUUUUAUUAGUUAAGUUUUAACAAUUUUUUGUCAGAAUUAACUUAAUUAUUUAGUUUUAAAUAAAUAAAUUCUGCUCCACGCCUCCCUUCCUUCUCGGAUCUACUACCAUGGCCUCCUUCCUCCCCAACUUGUAUGCCCUUAUUAUUACGCACAUUGAAUUUGGCUUUCGGGGUGUGACAUAUUUUUACCAAUCCCAUGAAGCUUUUCUUAUCUUUGAAUGCUUGAGUGCUAACCAUUGUGUGUUUCCCUUGCUUUAGGAAGAUUGCCUCACUCAGCAAGAAUGCAUGGUGAGGUGUUUGUGAAUGGUGCAAAAUCGGUACAUGUACAUGGCCACGACACCGAUAUAUAAAUGAGAAGAGAAUUCCUUGGUCAGUAUCAAUAUUGCGAAACUGUUGCAGCAUUGAAGGGUUGUGUGAACUCCUCGAUUUCAAGCGAAGUCGAAUAUUGCUUGAUGUGGAAGAUGGCUCAAACUAAUAAAAAUGAGGAAAACGGAUCAUACCAACAAAAAUAUGGCAGAUGGCCAGAAUCAAUAUAACCGUGGUCAGAUUUGGGAAGUGAGGCCAUGGCAGAUUCGGAGAGGGAGGGAGGCCAUGGCAGAUCUAUAAAGGAAUGGAGAAACAGAUCACACCUCUUCCCUUCUCCUCAUACCACAACUCAUCAUACACACCCAAUCGAUUUUGAAAUAUUACAUAAAAGUUGUGAUGGCGCUGGAACUGCAGAUUCAGAACGUUUUUUAUAUGCUUCCCACAAGCAGUCAGACAAACCCUUAGAGGACGAGUGACAUCAUUACCUUCUCAACUUACCAAAGAAAGAACUCCUUCCGAAGUGGUAACCACUUGCCGAUGCUCCCAACUACAGAACCAAGUUUCCAUGGACACGUGUCACCUCCACAAUAGUUUGCACAAAGUCCGACAUUGAAACUUUGUGCAAAACUCCCAUUUUCAGGGAACAGUACCUAAGGAAAAGGGGUAACUACUUUUCACAUUUACUGUUACUCUGCCAAAAUUACCACAUAUACUCGCUGACUUAAGUAUUGGAGAGUCUUCGGCAGGUACCACACCAGUGUCCGAAGCUUGACGAUCCCUUCUUCCUUGUUUUCUUAUGCAAGAUCCCUCCAUACCGAAGGUCCACAACCUUCUCCCUUGCUGAAGAUUUAACACUCCUUUAUCUAAGUUAACCCUCCGAAAAAGAGCAUCAACACGCGCAGCACUCAUUAUCUUUCAACAAUCUGAUUAUCUUAUACUAGUUAAUUUAUGGGUUGUUUGAUAACAAUUUCAAUUUUAAUUUUUAGUUUUCAUUUUCAUUUUUUUUGAAAACUGAAAACAUGUUUGGUAUUAGAUUUCGUUUUCAAAUUAAAAAAAAAGUGAAAUCUAGUUUUCAAAAUCACCUUUUUUUUAAAAAACAACUUGGAAGUGUUUUAUGUUUUUUUUUUAUGUUUUUUUUUUUUUUUUUUUUUUUUUUGUGCACUAUUGUUUGUUGGAGUGUUAGUUGACUUUCUUUGCACACCAAGGUUUCCCAUAUUAACUCAUGCAUAGAUUGGAAUUGAUUUCCUACUCUAAAUAGUAUUAGAAGUUAUUAAUUACCUUACUUAGCCUUCAAGGAAUAUUGUAUUAUAAAUAUGGCCUUCUACAAGGAGAAGAAUACACAGAAAAUUCUCACCACAAUUACUCUUUCGUAAUUUUAGCAUUAUUUCAUUCAUAAGUUUCACAUCACCACACAUGAAAUGCACUCCGGUUACCAAAAGUCGGUAUUUGGGACCUCCCAACUUGGACUUGGUCGCUCAAUUCGUGCUUUUGGCCACAAUCCCAAUCCAAACCUCGUCAACUCCAUGUCCAAAGGUCACUAAAAAAUAAUCAUAAUUUUAAAAAAUUCACCAAAAAAUAUUACGAAUUUUUUGUCAUUCCUGCUUUAACUUUACCUUUUGUUUUCAAAUGUUGACCCGUCCCAACCCAACUCUCAAUGCUCGAAGGGUUCUUUCGUGUAGUUAAGAGUUGGGUUUUCCAAGGUAGGUCUAUAUUGAUUCGAACAACUUUGCGGUAUAUCUGUGGGUAAGAUACUGUUCUCAAAGUAGUAAAGGCUGAACUAAAAGGCUAAAUGGGAAAAUGAAUACUUUCUUUUCUCUUCCUCAAGAAACAUACAUCCUCACCACAAGAGAGGGAGAGUUGCUUGGUAUUUUGUUAAAUAAAAUAAAAUAAUUAAUAAUUGAAAAUAGAAAAUGUUUGAAAAGGAUAUUGGGAAUAAAGAGAGAAGAUGCGGGUGUGAGUAAAAUAACAAUAAAAGAAAAUUAAAUCAAAAAUAAAAAAAUAAAAAAAUAAUUAAGUUUUGGGGAGUAGAAAUCGGGAUGGAGGGGGGAGAGAGAGGUUUUUUUUUAAAAAUUUUUUAUUCGUAUUUUAAUCAAUUUUGAUAUUGUUGAGGCCCAAAAAAGUUACGGGAAGCCCAAAGACAUUUAAAGCCCAAUAUAACAUAUAUUCUCAGUCAUGCGUUAAUCCAAGCUGUAAUUCGGAUUUAAUUCAUUAAAUAAAUAUAAAAUAGUGUACAUGUCAUGCUAAACUAAUAAUACAUUUUCCCCAUGCUAAUCACCUAUCAAGCUCACAUGAACCCAAGUCAUGUGAUUUACGGGCUUGCAUGAGGGAUUGUGGUGUGGAAGGUUACGGAGGUCCACAAGGCCCACGGAAGCUCUUGGAUAACAGAGACUUUGGGCUAGCUACUUGAGAGCACCAAAGUCCAAGCCCAUUACUUAGAGUUCUCCAAUGUGGGUGAGCAAAUGAGACAUUUUUCAAGCACUGCCUUUUACCUAUAGGAAAUAGUCAUUUUCCAAAUACCAAGCUUUACCCGUUGGAAACAAGCAUUUUCCAGCACUUCCUAUUACCCAUUGGAAACAAGCAGUUUCCAGUGCUUCCUUUUACCAAUAGGAAAAAAUCUGUUUAUGAUACCUAGCUUUACCUAUUGGAAAAUAGCAUGUCCUAGUCCUCCCUUUUAACCAUUAGAAAUAGGUUGGUUCCAAUACCUCCCUUUACCUAUUGGAAAUAAAGGAAAACCCUCACCCUCUAUAAAUUGGCACUCAUGGCUCAAGCAAAAGGCACCAAUUUUUCUUCAGCCAAUACUUCCUCACUCGGCUACUGCAAGCAUCCCAGCAGCCACCAACCCCCAUAAAGCAUCACCUAGCUCCAAGCUUUUCCUUCCUUCCAAGCUUUAAACACCAUAGCCUUUAAACCUCAAGCUUUUCCUUCCAUCCUCCUUCUCUUGAAACUCUUAAAUCCCCAUAGCCAUAGCCACACACAACAAAUUAUCAACACCAAACUCAAACAUAUCCAACACCAAGCCAAGCACAUGCAUUCUCAUUUGCUAAACUUGUGGGUCUUUAGCUCCUACACUCCAAGCUCUCAUGCUAAGCUCACAUAAUCUCAUACCAACAUCAGCAAGUCAUCUUCAACUCUUCGUCGAGCUGCCGAAAACAUCAACACAAAACAUGCAGCCGUUGGAAGAAGAACAAAGUACUCUCCCGGGACUUGCUUUUCCCUUGGGACACUUUGGGCCUAGUUCUCGCUAACUCAGAUAAAGGAACAACGAAGUCUUCAUUCAUCACUCUAUGGCGACCCAAGAAUCAACAAAGCCCGGAUGAGCCUUCGAACGAAAGUGACCACAUGCAAAGCUCAAGCUUCAAUAGCCAAGCCCAAGCUUUUGGUUCCUAAAAACAUGCUUACGACAGCUGCAACAAACAAUACCUAAGUCACCAUAAGUGAUAUGCCCCAGCGUCUCAAGCACUUUCUAUGCCCUGACAAUUCUAAUGAUCAAGUUUUAGAGUCAAACCAAAAGGCCAUUGGGAUGUCUCAAUUGCCACAAUUCCAUAAUCAAUCAUCAUCAAGCCUCAAGCCUUAUUCAAGAAAUCCAAGCACUAUUCUUUACUCAAGAAGGAAAACAUCUCAGUUCGUGGCAAAUAGAAGGAAAAUACUACGAAGGUACCGGAAGAACCUAAACACUGUCAAGAUGAAGUUUCCUUUACCAAGCAAUCAAAAUUUUUGAAGUGAUGUCAAGCUAUCAAGAAAAAGAGUAAAGUCACUAUGCAACACAACAACCAAAAUAUGCUUGUAGUAACCAAGAUUCAAGCCAAGCAAAAUGUGGAAGAUAAUGAUGCGUUGUAUGAAAUGCUCCUGGAAGAUAACACAAGCCCUAUAGUCAUGCUGCCGGAAGAGUGAACCAUCAUGCCACUAAAUUUGAAAGAGGAGCCCCAUAUCUGAGUACUGGAAGGCAGCGCAGUGGACUCCAAAACUAAGAUCUAGUCCAAGUGACUUAAGGCCUCCAUAUUGCAAUGCUUAUUUGCCAACACCUAUACCGCUUUCAAGCUACUGCAGACACUAUCAUGCUCAAAUCCUUAAGCAUCUCCCAUUGUAUUUUCAUCUUCUAAUCUACCAAAGCCCUCAUGAUUGACCAAGCUAUAUCUUGAUUCAACUCCACCCACUUGCUCUUUACAGCAGCCCAGGCCCAUCUGUAGCUGCCGGAACAAAAAAGCCCCAACGUAAAUGACAAAACCGAAACACUAAAGCACAUCCACCAUGCUAAAUAGCCCAAAAGCUAUAUUAAACCACGACACUUUAGCCAAUACCAAGCGUACAAGCCAAUGCCCAGCAUCCAAGCAUACAAGCCAAAGCUUAGCGUACAAGCCAAUACUAAGCAUACAUGCCAAUGCCAAGCAUACACACCAAUGCCAAGCAUCCAAGCCAAUACCAAGCGUACAAGACAAAGCCAAGCAUACAAGUCAAUACCAAGCAUACAUGCCAAUGCUACGCGUAUACGCCAAUGCCAAGCAUCUAAGCCAAUACCAAGCAUACAAGCCAAAGCCAAGCGUACAAGCCAAUACCAAGCAUAUAUGAGCCCAAGAUCAAGCGUACAUGCCAAUGCCAAGCAUCCAAAUCAAAUACUAAGAAUACAUGUCAACAUCAAGCAUACAUGCCAACACCAAAUAUACACGUAAAAACCAAGGAAGCAAGCACGGAUGUUUCAUGCAUAUUGAAGAACCAGCCAUGUCAUGCCACUGCCAAUUAUUUUGGGCUGAAAUAGAUUAUUGGGCCCAUCUCACUGCCACUUCAUAGCCCCAAUAAUCAAGGGGGCUAAUGUUGAGGCCCAAAAAAGUUACGGGAAGCUCAAAGACAUUCAAAGCCUAAUAUAACCUAUAAUGUCACUCAUGCGUUAAUCCAAGCUGUAAUUUGGAUUUAAUUCAUUAAAUAAAUAUAGAAAUAGUGUACAUGCCAUACCAAAAUAAUAAUACAUUUUUUCCAUGCCAAUCACCUAUCAAGCUCACAUGAACCCAAGUCAUGUGGUUUAUGGGGCUUGCAAGAGGGAUUGUGGUGUGGAAGGUUACGGAGGUCCACAAGGUUCAUGGAAGCUCUUGAAUAAUGGAGACUUUGGGCUAGCUACUUGGGAGCACCAAAGUCCAAGCCCAUUACUUAGAGUUCUCUAAUGUGGGUGAGCAAAUGAGACAUUUUUUAAGCACUUCCUUUUAUCCAUAGGAAAUAGUCAUUUUCCAAAUAUCUAGCUUUACCCGUUGGAAACAAGCCUUUUCCAGCACUUCCUAUUACCCACUGGAAAUAAGCAGUUUCUAUUACUUCCUUUUACCAAUAGGAAAUAAUCUGUUUAUGGUACUAGCUUUACCUGCUGGAAAAUAGUAUGCCCUAGUGCUCCCUUUUAACCAUUAGAAAUAGGUUGGUUCCAGUACCUCCCUUUACCUAUUGGAAAUAAAGGAAAACCCUCACUCUCUAUAAAUUGGCACUCAUGGCUCAAGUAAAAGGCACCAAUUUUUCUUCAGCCAACACUCCCUAACUCAGCUGCUGCAAGCAUCCCAGCAGCCACCAACCCCCAUAAAGCAUCACCUAGCUCCAAGCUUUUCCUUCCUUCCAAGCUUUAAACACCAUAGCCUUCAAACCUCAAGCUUUUCCUUCCAUCAUCUUUCUCUUGAAACUCUUAAAUCCCCAUAGCCAUAGCCACACACAACAAAUUAUCAACACCAAACUCAAACAUAUCCAACACCAAGCCAAGCACAUGCAUUCUCAUUUGCUAAACUUGUGGGUCUUUAGCUCCCACACUCCAAGCUCUCAUGCCAAGCUCAUAUAAUCUCAUACCAACAUCAGCAAGUCAUCUUCAACUCUUCGUCGAGCUGCCGAAAACAUCAACGCAAAACACGCAGCCGAUGGAAGAAGAACAAAGUACUCUCCCGAGACUUGCUUCUCCCUCGGGAUACUUUGGGCCUAGUUCUCGCUAACUCAGACAAAGGGGCAACGAAGUCUUCAUUCAUCACUCUAUGGCGAUCCAAGAAUCAACAAAGCCCGGAUGAGCCUUCGGACGAAAAAGACCCCAACAGAUAUAAAAAUACCAUUUUUCCCCUGCAGUUAACAGAAAAGUUAACAGCCGGACCAUUUGUCCUAACGAAACUGAAGUUGAAGAACUACGGGAACCAUUUUGAAAAUUGAGGUACUCAAAUACAAAUCGGGUCUAAGUUCAGGGAUUAAUAAAACAAUUAACCCCUGAGUUUAUAAUGCUCGAGAGUAUAUAGGAAGAGGACACUCCAACUGGCAGCUAUGGAGGAGGCCAAGACUAGUAGUGUCUAUUCUGUGAAAGCUAACUUUGCUUUCUUAUUAUCCACAACUUAGAUAUAUCAAUGGCUUCUUGCAAGAACCUCAAUUCUUUAUGAACUUUCUGCCCUAAAAUGCUUUAUCUAAUAGCUCAGACAAUGGUGAAAGAAAAAAAAUUGUUGUUGGAAUCUUAGCAUAAUAAUAUUUUCCAGCCAAAAUCAGUUGUUAGAUUCUCCAACAGCACAAUCUCUUUUCGCAAUCACAUACUAGUCAAUCCUACAGAGCAUAAGAUCCUACUUUGAGGGGUGGAAAGGAAUGAAUUCAACUCACCACUAUUAUGACCAAGGCAAUAAUUUUCAUUUCCAUCACAUGAUUCUAGGUGACCCACAACUCCAUACCACCAACCUGCAAUAUAUACAGAAAAUCCUAUCAAGCAAUGGACAAUGGGAAAUUAAUUAAUUUCACCUUUUAUUUAAGUUUCUGCAUAUUAAACGAAUCUACUUUCAUUAUAUAUUUAAGGGAAAUGUAAGCCUUUUUUUUCGUUCUUUACCCUUUUUUUUCCUCACCUUAAUGGGGCUUGAGGAUGUUUGAAUUGUUCGCUAGAACUACUUUCAUUAUCUAUUUGAGGCAUACUUCAUGAACCACAUGGAUUCUAGGAAGUGAUAUAGACCUUUGUUUCUUUCAUUUGAGCCCUUCUAGCCAACCCGUAUCACUUUUAUCCCUUGUUAAUCACCUUGUGCCUUUUAUGUAAGCCUUUUUUUUCGUUCUUUACCCUUUUUUCCUCACCUUAAUCUAUCAUAUGUUACCCUUCUAAGGAGUUUUGUACAGUAUUUUCGUUGUUAAGGGAGAAUUGCACAACAAUCAUGUGGAAAGUAAAGGAUACUAUUUCCAAAAAAAAAACCUAAUUUCAAACCCUUUUCAACUCGAGUUAUUGAGCCCUAUGAGUGUUUUACAUUUAAUUUCGUAAAGCUAUGUAGCUUGGGAGUCAUUGGCCUAACACUCGCUGCAUGGGUUGAUUAGAAAGCUAAUGAAGAGUUAGAAAAAAAAAUUGUGAAAAAUAAAUAAAUUUCAAGACAGUAUCAAUAUGAAGUUGCGUGCUCAAAGUGCAAGAUGUUAUAAUUUUCAUGGAAAGCUCUAUGAAUUCCUUAGAAUUUGUUCAUCCAUAUCUUUUUCUUGUUUCACCCGUCACUCUAAGCCCCAUUACAACCUUAUUUGAAGACUAUUCUGCUAUUUUCUCAAGGCGUGCAAUAUAUGACUGGAAAGAUAAGAUAAAGACCUACAAUUUACAUAUUUUUUCAGAAUUUUCUCGGAGGAGGAAUGAUUCCAAACGUGGGUGCAAAGUAACUAACGUGUUAUCCUAGUCCAAGUAGGAAGAUGAGUCAAUUACUUACCCAUUUUGGAUUUAAGUUUUAAUUAGCUGUUUCUUUAUUUUUGGGCUGUUGUAAAAGGCCAGCUAAGGUAGGAAUAGACGUGUGGCAUUUUAUUUAAGCAUGAGACAACUCCUUUGGGAAGACGCAAAGACUAGGAGAAAUUGGAGACGCCGGAAGAGUACCACAAUUGGCUAAGUUUUAUUGUUUCUUCCUUAUGUUUUUGUUUAUGUCAAAUUCUAUGAUUAUGUGUAACUAAUUUUAUUUUGCUAGGGCAUGAUGUAUGCCUAGUAUGAUAAUCUAGUUUUCUUAUUUUACCUAUCUAUUGAUUGCAGUUUGAUGUUAGAUUCUUAAUCACUGUGCUUAGUACCUUAGUUGAUUACCUUGAUGCUUGAUCACCAUCUAGACUUUUAAUUGAGUUAAUCGGAUGCGAAUUAGAGUAAAUACCAUACUUAAUUUGAGGUUUGCUUCUUGUGAUUAGAAUUUGUAAUUUGUCUAAAGUAAAUACCAUACUCCUAGAAUUUACAUGCUUGUUGGAGGUUUUCACUGAUUUCAAUAUUUUCCCGACAUGUGAUGCCAACAACAUAGAUGUUUCAAUGUUUCACUAUGGAAGCAAUCACGUAAGGAUUAACAUGGCAGGACAUCAGACAUGAGAAACUAAGAAGAGAGAGAGAGAGAGAGAGAGAGACUUGCCAUUCAAGCAAGAGAAGGCCAUAACACUAUAUAGCAAUAGCACCGUAAAAUAAGAUGCAAAGAAUGAGGGGGUCAUGUUUUCAAGUACCAAAACACGCAAGGGCAUUUUGGUAAAGUACAUCUGAAAAUAAAUCAAGGCAAGCAAAGCCGUAGAUAUCCUCUUCCUGCUACACAUAGUAUUAGCCUACGUAAGGUCAUUACGGCGCCGUUUCCCUUUUUAAUUGGCGUAGUUCAACUCAUCAUCCACCCAAGUUCAUUUCGUUCAAAGCUAUAAAUAACCCCUCAAACCAUUCAACUUUCCCACCACCACUCCUCACUCCUUCAACUCAUUAACCUCUCUCUCUCUCUCUCUCUCUCUCUCUCUCUCUCUCAUCCGCAAAUGGCGAACCGUAGAAGCCUCUUUUCUCUCUCACUUAUCUUUGUGUUCAUGAUCAACUCAGCCAUAGCCACUCCAGUCACAUACAAUGUGGCCAGUUUAGGAGCCAAAGCAGAUGGCAAGACUGACUCCACAAAAGCCUUC
rnacentral:lncRNA from 1 species